rnacentral:rRNA from 1 species
UACGAAGGGGGCUAGCGUUGUUCGGAAUUACUGGGCGUAAAGGGUCUGUAGGUGGCCAACUAAGUCAGACGUGAAAUCCCUCAGCUUAACUGGGGAACUGCGUCCGAUACUGGAUGGCUUGAGUUCGGGAGAGGGAUGCGGAAUUCCAGGUGUAGCGGUGAAAUGCGUAGAUAUCUGGAGGAACACCGGUGGCGAAGGCGGCAUCCUGGACCGAUACUGACGCUGAGGAGCGAAAGCCAGGGGAGCAAACGGG